AUGUCCCACGCGGGUUAAAGUGUAGUAUCUGUUCUUAUCAGGUUAAUAUUUGAUAUGGGUUCUAUUUGGACCGAAGAUAUUAAACUCAUUUUUGCAAGUUGGCGGAGUGCUUGAAGCCUGCUGCACCUCCGCCACGAGUCGGUCCUGUUCAGGGGUGAUUUGCUUUUUAACCGGCUCAUCAAUU